rnacentral:pre_miRNA from 1 species
GGAAGAAUACGAGAAGGGACGGACUAACACAGACUUCCAUGGAAGCUUGUGUUUGUCCGUCCCUUCUCGUUUUUCUUC